rnacentral:rRNA from 1 species
GACGAACGCUGGCGGCGUGCUUAACACAUGCAAGUCGAACGAGACCUUCGGGUCUAGUGGCGCACGGGUGCGUAACGCGUGGGAAUCUGCCCUUGGGUUCGGAAUAACAGUUAGAAAUGACUGCUAAUACCGGAUGAUGACUUCGGUCCAAAGAUUUAUCGCCCAAGGAUGAGCCCGCGUCGGAUUAGCUUGUUGGUGAGGUAAAAGCUCACCAAGGCGACGAUCCGUAGCUGGUCUGAGAGGAUGAUCAGCCACACUGGGACUGAGACACGGCCCAGACUCCUACGGGAGGCAGCAGUGGGGAAUAUUGGACAAUGGGCGAAAGCCUGAUCCAGCAAUGCCGCGUGAGUGAUGAAGGCCUUAGGGUUGUAAAGCUCUUUUACCCGGGAUGAUAAUGACAGUACCGGGAGAAUAAGCCCCGGCUAACUCCGUGCCAGCAGCCGCGGUAA